GGUUCUAUGGUGUAAUGGUUGGCACUCUGGACUUUGAAUCCCAUGAUCUCUGUUCAAAUCUCAGUGGAACCU